rnacentral:rRNA from 1 species
UACGGAGGGAGCUAGCGUUGUUCGGAAUUACUGGGCGUAAAGCGCGCGUAGGCGGCUUUGUAAGUUAGAGGUGAAAGCCCGGGGCUCAACCCCGGAACUGCCUUUAAGACUGCAUCGCUUGAAUCCAGGAGAGGUGAGUGGAACUGCGAGUGUAGAGGUGAAAUUCGUAGAUAUUCGCAAGAACACCAGUGGCGAAGGCGGCUCACUGGCCCGGUACUGACGCUGAGGUGCGAAAGCGUGGGGAGCAAACAGG